rnacentral:rRNA from 1 species
GAAUUGACGGGGCCCGCACAAGCGGUGGAGUAUGUGGUUUAAUUCGAUGCAACGCGAAGAACCUUACCUGGUCUUGACAUCCCGGAGACCCUUAGGAAACUAGGGGGUGCUUCCAUCUGGAAGAAUCUGGAGACAGGUGCUGCAUGGCUGUCGUCAGCUCGUGUCGUGAGAUGUUGGGUUAAGUCCCGCAACGAGCGCAACCCUUGCCUUUAGUUGCCAGCAGUUCGGCUGGGCACUCUAAAGGGACUGCCGGUGUUAAACCGGAGGAAGGUGGGGAUGACGUCAAGUCCUCAUGGCCUUUAUGACCAGGGCUACACACGUACUACAAUGGCCGAUACAAAGGGCAGCGACACUGCGAGGUGAAGCCAAUCCCGUAAAAUCGGUCUCAGUCCGGAUUGGAGUCUGCAACUCGACUCCAUGAAGUUGGAAUCGCUAGUAAUCGUGGAUCAGCAUGCCACGGUGAAUACGUUCCCGGGCCUU